CAGUCGCCGCGGGAAUACGUAGGUCCCGAGCGUUGUCCGGAUUUAUUGGGCGUAAAGCGAGCGCAGGCGGUUAGAUAAGUCUGAAGUUAAAGGCUGUGGCUUAACCAUAGUACGCUUUGGAAACUGUUUAACUUGAGUGCAAGAGGGGAGAGUGGAAUUCCAUGUGUAGCGGUGAAAUGCGUAGAUAUAUGGAGGAACACCGGUGGCGAAAGCGGCUCUCUGGCUUGUGACUGACGCUGAGGCUCGAAAGCGUGGGGAGCAAACGGGAUUAGAUACCCCAGUAGUCCCUGUCUCUUAUACA
rnacentral:rRNA from 1 species